rnacentral:rRNA from 1 species
CUUGAUGAUCAUAGCGUCAUGGAACCACUUGAUACAUUCCGAACUCGCCAGUGAAACGUGAGUUGCGCCGAUGGUACUUGGUUUUUUAGCCCGGGAGAGUAGGUUAUCAUCAAGC